rnacentral:rRNA from 1 species
CCUACGGGCGGCUGCAGUAGGGAAUAUUGCUCAAUGGGGGAAACCCUGAAGCAGCAACGCCGCGUGGAGGAUGAAGGUUUUCUGAUUGUAAACUCCUUUUUUUAGAGAAGUUAAUGACGGUAUCUAACGAAUAAUCACCGGCAAACUCCGUUCCAGCAGCCGCGGUACUACGGAGGGUGCAAGCGUUACUCGGAAUCACUGGGCGUAAAGAGCGCGUAGGCGGGAUAGCAAGUCAGAUGUGAAAUCCUAUGGCUUAACCAUAGAACUGAAUUUGAAACUGUUAUUCUAGAGUAUGUGAGAGGUAGGUGGAAUUCUGGGUGUAGGGGUAAAAUCCGUAGAGAUCAAGAGGAAUACUCAUUGCGAAGGCGACCUGCUAGAACAUAACUGACGCUGAUGCGCGAAAGCGUGGGGAGCAAACAGGAUUAGAUACCCGGUAGUC